AAUACAGGUGACAUUUAAAUCCCUGAAGAUGGAUGAGCUCUCAAAGGGAGUGAAUGUGAGUAGAGAAGAGAGGACGCACUGGAGCAUGCCAACAUUGAGAGCUCAGGGAGAAGAAAAAAACCCAUUAAAGGAGACUGAGAAGGAGCAGCAGCUGGGACAGGAAGGAAGCGUGGAAACUUAGGAUGUGUUGGGAGCCAAGUGAAGAAAGUAUUUCAAGGAGGGAGUAAUGAAUCCUGUCCAACCUUGUCAAGUAAGAUGACCUGGACCACAUGACCUCUGGAUACAGUAAUGCGGACAUCACUAGUGAAGGCAAUAAAUGCAGUCUCUGUGGAAUGGUACUUGUGAGAGUCUGAAUGGAGUGCCUUUAACAUAUAUAGAAGGAAAGGAACUAGAGAUUCUGAGAACAUAGUUUUGUUUUAUUAGGGGUCGCAAUAAUCAAGCAGAAACCACUGGAUUAAGAGGGCACACGAGGCAAUAAAUAAGAGCAUGUUUGUAGACAAUUGGAGAGAGAGAAGGAAAAACUGUUUGAGAAACAGUGUAGGAGACAAAGAAUUCCCCAAGUCUGCUGUUUCAUAGGAUAUGCUUUCCUCUCUGUCUUUUUUUUUUUUUUUUUAAGUUGAAAUAAGAUAUUUUGCAGGUUUUCAGAACAGAUUGUACUGUUUGGACUGCUUAUUCUCAAGAGGACCUGUAAAGGCUAUUUUAUCUUCUUCAAGUAAAGUUUACAUUCCCUAGUCUUUAUUUCCUUUAGAAAUGUUCAGAAACUGACUUUGGGAGGAAAUACUUUAGAAAAUGUACCUUCAAUAUUACAGCACAAAGAUCGAUUAGAUGUGGGUGUAUAUGUGUGUGCAUGUCUGAAAUAAAACUUUGGAAUUCUGAACCUUUACUCUAUUUCAGCAGCAGGUCUGGAAGUUCAGACACACAACAAGGAAACAAACUACUGGUAAGAAAUGAAGUUUGCAUGAAUUCCUUUUUAAAAAGCAUUACAGUUAAUGAGACAAUUAAUUCAUGUUGAGAUCUUUCCAACAUAGUUUCGUUUUCACAUUUUACUAGUAAAGAUUUUAAAAAUAAAACAUGAAAUGUUCUUUUUCAAGCAGAAGAAGGUAAAGUGGGCAGAGUGCCAACUAAGAAUGCUACUGGGCAGGAGAGAAAUUAGGUGUAGUGUGGCCGUCCCCAUCUUUACUUGGAAUUCCGCAGUGCUCUCUACGGCCCUACCCUGUGGCAGGCACUCCAGUUGCUUCAAAAUGUUUACUUGUAUAUGAGAAAACCCUGGAAUUCAGACAUGCUACAGACUGGGUAAAUCAUAUUCUAUUUAUUUAGCCUUGGGUUUAAAUUACAGUCUAUUCAGUCAAUAGAAUGAACAUCAGUCUAUUCAGAUGUUCUUGGUUGAUACUCUUUCAAGUCAUCCCUGGGACAGCUGGGUCCUUUCUACCUGAGCCUCAGCUAGUCUCUCUUAAGGCAUCAGGUGACAACCAUGUAGGUUGGUGAGAGGUGUUGAAGCUGGGUGGAGGCUCAUUAUACUAGUUCUCUAGUUUCAUGUAAGUUUGAGAAUUUCUCUUAAACAAGAGAAAAAUAAGCUCUCUGUGCAUUCUUGAUUCAAUUUCAGUAAGGGUCCCCUAGACUUCAUCCAUAGACAUUUCCAGAACAAUCUUUUCAGCUCUAAUGUAGGGGCAAUGUGGUAUAGAAGAAAGAUCAUAGAGCUAGGAAUCAGGCCCAAGUUUGCCAGCUGCAGAGUGUGUGACGACGGCCAAGUCACUUGAACUCUCUGAGCCUUGUUCUUUAUCCAUAAAAGGAAGAAUGAUGAGACCUUAAUAAAUACUUGCCUUCAAAUAAGAUGUUUGAGAUGUGGAAUGGUUGUGUAUCGGAGUAUGGCUAUUCAGAGUAAGAUUCCAUUCAAACGGGCUUCCCUGUGGACCAUGGAAUCUUGCCCUCUGAUUUCUCUAUUUCUUUUUGGAUUCAACAGUUCUGCUUUCCUACUCUGGUCCCCAAUUAAGACGUUUGAUCUAGUGAGGUUCCUAUUCAGAACCCUACUUCUGCAUAAUUAUUUUUGUUCAAUGUUGACAUCUCUUUUCUAAGUAAAGUUUGUGUAAUCUGGCCCCAAACAGACUGGACACAUAUCUGAAAUCUGUAAUAAUUUACAGGAAGAGGGUUUUUGUUGAAGAACUCUAAGUUAAAGGGAAAUCAAUUUAGAUGAGUAGAGUACAACUUUAAUUAAAAAUUUGUUUUCUGGGAUCUACUCUAUAGCACAGGAAGGUCUACUCAAUGUUUUGUAAUAGCCCAUAUGGGGAAAAAGAACAGACAUAUGUAUGUGUGUAACUGAUUCACUCUGCUGUAAACCUGAAGCCAAUACAACAUUGCCAAUCAACUAUACCACAAUACAAUCUUUUUAAAAAGGUUGUUUUCUAACUCUAAAGAUACUUUAAUCAUACAUUACUUUUUUUCAGCUAGCAAAUCAAAACCAAAUAAUGAGUUUUAAUUUUAUAUAGUGGAGCUAUUUACAAUUGUGUUGACCCAUAAGUGUCCCUCAAUGGCACUACAUGAAAGUCCCUUUUCUCUGGUUGGUUGGAACCCUUGGGCUACUAGUUAAAUUGGAGUUUUGAAAAUGGGAGAGUUCAGAUCCCCAGGGUGUGUUAACUGCCUUUCCUCUAACAAUGCUAAUCAAUUAGCACCCUAGAGGUAACCCUCUCACCGACUGCCUGAGACACUGGAAAAGGAAAAGGUGCCAAUUACCACAUUUAGGAUUUCUCCCAAUUAGCUUCCUGGGGUUCAGAAUCUAUCUCUUUUCAAUUUACACUGAACAUAGGUAGAAGCCCUGGGGCUUGAAGUCAUUGGUUCUGCUUUAGUUACUGAAUUUUUACAUUUCUAAAAGUAUACUUAGCUCCAGGAGGAGGUUAGGAUUAUAGACCUCAUGGCUAUGAGAUGUUCCGAGUUAGUGCUGCUGCCUUCCCACACAACCCCUCUUAAACCUUGGAACUCAAAGCGCAAUUGCUCAGCAGAAGAGAUUCUGCUCUGUGCCAGGAGGAACUAAAUUGCAGGUGGAUCUCAGAGGCCUCUUUAAAUAGUUCUUGUUCGCUUUGGUAGAGAAGAUUAGGGUGAAGGAUAACAAGCUCUUUAAUUCAGUGAAGAUGCCUUCACUACACAAGCAGAGUGAAACAUGUUCUACUUUUGUGGCACCACCACCUGGGGACCAGGGUGGUGGUGCCACAAUUCGCCUUUACUGACUGGGUCUCUGAAAAAUACAUUAACUUUUCUACUCUCUUGGAAAACCAUGCAUUCUCAAGAGCUUUUUUUCACCUCUAUGUCCCUGGGACAAAAUUUCUGACGCUAAAACAGCAUCUAGUCAGUACCAUUUGAAAGAGAACCAAUGGACUGGUUCCAUGCAGAGGAUCAGGUGAUUGACAGAUGAAUCCUUAUAGCCGUUUAUGGGGGUGGUUUUUCAGAGUCAUCACUAUUACAGUGAUACUUUUCUUCUCCUCCUCUUCAUCAUUAAUAUCAUUAUUACUAUUACUGCAACUUUCGAAAUGAAAAAAUUUGAGAAUCAGGGAGAUUGAGGGAGAGUCUGGCUGUUGAGUGAUCAGUGAGUUACGGGCUGACUACAUAGUCGGAAUAUUAUGGGAUAGUCCAGUGAGAAUUUAUGUGGAUCCACUUCUCAGGUGCCAGGUUGUCCUUGUUUAUCUGGACCUUAUUCCUCUGGGCCUGUUGGAGCAUUAAAACAUUAUUUGAACUAUUGCCUUUGUUCUACUUUAACAACCUCUGUAAGAGGACAGCUAGUACUUAUAAAUCAUCUCAUUUGAAACUGUUUAGGAAAUAAAAGUUCUAUUGCAAGGAGGCCCGACCUGAACUGGGGAUACCUGGCUCAGGGUUUCUUCCCCACUCCCCCAAAACUAUUCCUAAGAAUGGAGACACAUAGAAAUGGCUGAUGUAAAACAGCAGAUGAUCAUUGGUUAAGUGGAAUGGCACAUCUAAAAGUGAGAGUAUGGGUAUGAAUUCAUUACGGCUAGAGUAUGUAGGAAGUAUUUCACCCAUUGGGCAAAAUGGCUUAUUAUAAAAUCUUGUAAGACAUUUAGUGGUCAAGUUGUAAUUUCGGGAUGACUUCAUUAAAGAAAUGUUAUUUUAAGCACUUUUUAGUUUUUAAUAGGUAAGGUCAAAUUCAUAGCACACUAUAUGGGAAGUCAGCUUUAUAAAACAACCUUUAAUUAGCUAAAAAAAUUACUACAUUUGAUAAGCUGGGAAGGGCAAGUAACACCUUAAGCUGUGUCAAAUUAUAGAACUUCUUCUAGUACUUGGUAUAAUAGAGGAUUAUUUUCGCAAGAAACAUAUUUGGUCACAUUUUUGAUAUUUCUAAAUUUCAGCAUUCUAAAAUCGCUUUCAAAAGAUUUUCCCCUUUGAUGAGCAAACUUUCAAAUCAUUAAUGAAUUACUAUUGUUAAUAUAGCACUUGUGCUUUAAAUGAAUAUUUCAAAUGAUUUAAAGUCAGUUUUAUUUACCUUAAAAUGAAGUCAAUACAGAUUCCAUUCCUAU
rnacentral:lncRNA from 1 species